rnacentral:rRNA from 1 species
UUUUAAUUUUGGAAUGUAAAAAUCGUAACAAGGUCUCCGUAGGUGAACCUGCGGAGGGAUCAUUACACAAAUAUGAAGGCGGGCUGGAACCUCUCGGGGUUACAGCCUUGCUGAAUUAUUCACCCUUGUCUUUUGCGUACUUCUUGUUUCCUUGGUGGGUUCGCCCACCACUAGGACAAACAUAAACCUUUUGUAAUUGCAAUCAGCGUCAGUAACAAAUUAAUAAUUACAACUUUCAACAACGGAUCUCUUGGUUCUGGCAUCGAUGAAGAACGCAGCGAAAUGCGAUAAGUAGUGUGAAUUGCAGAAUUCAGUGAAUCAUCGAAUCUUUGAACGCACAUUGCGCCCUUUGGUAUUCCAAAGGGCAUGCCUGUUCGAGCGUCAUUUGUACCCUCAAGCUUUGCUUGGUGUUGGGCGUCUUGUCUCUAGCUUUGCUGGAGACUCGCCUUAAAGUAAUUGGCAGCCGGCCUACUGGUUUCGGAGCGCAGCACAAGUCGCACUCUCUAUCAGCAAAGGUCUAGCAUCCAUUAAGCCUUUUUUUCAACUUUGACCUCGGAUCAGGUAGGAUUCCCCGGU